rnacentral:rRNA from 1 species
CUACGGGCGGCUGCAGUGGGGAAUAUUGCACAAUGGGCGCAAGCCUGAUGCAGCAACGCCGCGUGAACGAUGAAGGCCUUCGGGUUGUAAAGUUCUUUUCUUAGGGAAGAAUAAAUGACGGUACCUAAGGAAUCAGCCCCGGCUAACUACGUGCCAGCAGCCGCGGUAAUACGUAGGGGGCAAGCGUUAUCCGGAAUCACUGGGCGUAAAGGGAGUGUAGGCGGUCAAGCAAGUCAGGGGUGAAAGGCAUCGGCUCAACCGAUGUAAGCCUUUGAAACUGUUUGACUUGAGUGCAGGAGAGGUAAGUGGAAUUCCUAGUGUAGCGGUGAGAUGCGUAGAUAUUAGGAGGAACACCAGUGGCGAAGGCGACUUACUGGACUGUAACUGACGCUGAGGCUCGAAAGCGUGGGGAGCGAACAGGAUUAGAUACCCUCGUAGUC